UACAGGGGGUGCAAACGUUGCUCGGAAUCAUUGGGCGUAAAGCGCACGUAGGCGGUUCGUUACGUCGGAUGUGAAAGCCCUUGGCUUAACCGAGGAAGUGCAUCCGAAACUGGCGAGCUAGAGUACGAAAGAGGAUCGCGGAAUUCCCGGUGUAGAGGUGAAAUUCGUAGAUAUCGGGAGGAACACCGGUGGCGAAGGCGGCGAUCUGGGUCGAUACUGACGCUGAGGUGCGAAAGCGUGGGGAGCAAACAGG
rnacentral:rRNA from 1 species